AGCCUGCCCAGUGACAAGUUCAACGGCCGCGGUACCCUAACCGUGCAAAGGUAGCAUAAUCACCUGUUCUUUAAAUGAGGACUCGUAUCAACGGCACCACGAGGGUUGCACUGUCUCCCCCCUCUAAUCAGUGAAACUGAUCUCCCCGUGAAGAAGCGGGGGUACAACUAUAAGACGAGAAGACCCCAUGGAGCUUAAAACCCAACGGCAACUCAACCCCACGCACUUCCCCGCACCAAGAGAGCAUGCCUAACGGUUUUAGGUUGGGGCGACCACGGAGUAAAAACCAACCUCCAUGACGAAAAGAACUAAAUCUUUAUCCCAGAGCCACCCCUCCAAGAAUUAGAACACUAACGGACAAUGACCCGACUAUCGACCAACGAACCAAGUUACCCUGGGGAUAACAGCGCAAUCUACUUCAAGAGCCCCUAUCGACAAGUAGGCUUACGACCUCGAUGUUGGAUCAGGGUACCCCAGAGGUGCAGCCGCUUCUAGUGGUUCGUUUGUUCAACGAUUA
rnacentral:rRNA from 1 species